rnacentral:lncRNA from 1 species
CCAAAUAACUGAGAAGGUUUAAGUUUAUAACCUUGCUUUCUAGGAUGCAACUCCGAAAUUUACUUCUAGAUGCAAUUGACAGUCUACUGCCUAUUUUGAGCUUGAAAAAUGUAUAGGAAGAAGGGGUGAGAUUAUAAAAUCCCAGUGAGUAAACAGACAUCAUCAAAAUAAUCUAAAGUCGAGUAAUAGGAGACAAUUAAAAUAAUUCAUCCCAACCCAUAUAAAUAAUUGGAUUUCAUCCAAUUACUCAACAUGGCUUAUGUACUUUUCAAAAACUUGGCCCUUGCCAAAAAUCCAUUCUCGGGGAUACCCCGUAAAGGCAUCUUACCGAGACCGCCAAGGCUGUUUAUUGUCACACACACAAACACAUUUCACCUCUGACAACACAGUCGUUCCUCGAGGUUGGCUGAGUUCCAGUUUCACGUGGUGGCCAAUGUGAAGUGUACUCAAAUCCUACCUCGGGAGUUAUCCUACGCGCCUCUCCAAUCAAGGUAAGCUCAAUAAUUGAGAACCAUGCCCCUCUAAUUAGGCUGGUCCACGGAACCCCCGUCACUGUAGUGCCCACUUUAUAAUCCACCAACCAAUAAAAUCACAAUAGUAUGACAUGGCUCACUUAACACAUUCAAGGUAAAUCAAAGCAGUUCACAUAUUCUUUAAAUCAUAAAAAUAACCAGUCAUACCUACAUUUAUCAUAAGCCAUUUAAUGUAAAAUCAUGGAUAAACAACACAAUCAUAGUAUAGAUCUCCAAUUACUUUAUUUUUGAAAUCAUUAUUAAAUUUUUAAAAAUUUUAUAAAAUUAUUUUAUAAAAUCCCAUUUUCCCAUAAAACACAAUAAUUUUCCAAUUAAACCAUUUUUCCAUAAAAUCACACAAUUAAAUAAAUCUACUCUAGAUAAUUAAGAC